UACGGAGGUGGCAAGCGUUACUCGGAUUCACUGGGUGUAAAGGGCGUGUAGGCGGCACUGUAAGCCUUGCCUUAAAGGCUCUGGCUCAACCAGAGUUUGUGGCGAGGGACUGCAGAGCUUGAGGAUGGUAGAGGUGAGCGGAAUUCCCGGUGUAAGGGUGAAAUCUGUAGAGAUCGGGAGGAACACCAGUGGCGAAGGCGGCUCACUGGGCCAUUCCUGACGCUGAGAUGCGAAAGCUAGGGGAGCAAACAGG
rnacentral:rRNA from 1 species